GUGCUUACUUCAACAGCAUGUAUACCAAAAUUGGAAUGAUACAGAGAAGGCUAGCAUGGCCUCUGUGCAAGGGUGACAUAAAAAAAAGGAAAUCUUGCAUUUGUGA